rnacentral:rRNA from 1 species
UACAGAGGUGGCAAGCGUUGUUCGGAAUUACUGGGCGUAAAGGGCGCGUAGGCGGUCUUGUAAGUCUUGUGUGAAAUCCCUCGGCUUAACUGAGGAACUGCACGGGAUACUGCGAGACUUGAGAUCGGGAGAGGGAAGCGGAAUUCCGGGUGUAGCGGUGAAAUGCGUAGAUAUCUGGAGGAACACCGGUGGCGAAGGCGGCAUCCUGGACCGGCAUUGACGCUGAACAGCGAAAGCCAGGGGAGCAAACGGG